CACGUAGGGGGCAAGCGUUGUCCGGAUUUAUUGGGCGUAAAGAGCUCGUAGGCGGCUCAGUAAGUCGGGUGUGAAACCUCCAGGCUCAACCUGGAGACGCCACCUGAUACUGCUGUGGCUAGAGUCCGGUAGGGGAGCGUGGAAUUCCUGGUGUAGCGGUGAAAUGCGCAGAUAUCAGGAGGAACGCCAGCGGCGAAGGCGGCGCUCUGGGCCGGAACUGACGCUGAGGAGCGAAAGCGUGGGGAGCGAACAGG
rnacentral:rRNA from 1 species